rnacentral:tRNA from 1 species
AAAGGAUUAGUUAAAUUAUAAUAUUAGAAUGUCAAACUAAAGUCACUAUAUAUCUUAGUAUCCUUUG